GAGUUUGAUCCUGGCUCAGAGCGAACGCUGGCGGCAGGCUUAACACAUGCAAGUCGAACGGGCGUAGCAAUACGUCAGUGGCAGACGGGUGAGUAACGCGUGGGAACGUACCUUUUGGUUCGGAACAACUGAGGGAAACUUCAGCUAAUACCGAAUAAGCCCUUACGGGGAAAGAUUUAUCGCCGAAAGAUCGGCCCGCGUCUGAUUAGCUUGUUGGUGAGGUAACGGCUCACCAAGGCGACGAUCAGUAGCUGGUCUGAGAGGAUGAUCAGCCACAUUGGGACUGAGACACGGCCCAAACUCCUACGGGAGGCAGCAGUGGGGAAUAUUGGACAAUGGGCGAAAGCCUGAUCCAGCCAUGCCGCGUGAGUGAUGAAGGCCCUAGGGUUGUAAAGCUCUUUUGUGCGGGAAGAUAAUGACGGUACCGCAAGAAUAAAGCCCCGGCUAACUUCGUGCCAGCCGCCGCCGUAAC
rnacentral:rRNA from 1 species